AACUGGUGCGCUUGCUGUGGUGAGGCCUGCACCCUCCCUAUCUCUCCAACAUGCAUACAUACAAGUGUUUGGACACACACAUUUACACUCUCCUCUGAUGGCUCUUGAAGGGCCUUUUUACAAACCCUCAAACAUCAACCCUAAAUCAACUCUCCUGCUGGAUAGAUAGGGGUAGGUUUCAAACAAAAGGCUAAGUGACAUAUCAAAAACUUGGCACACGUCAUCACAUCUCAUUUCGUUCAUCCCUCAUUAAGCAGUAUUUAUUUAUUUGCCUUUGUUUACACACACUAAUUAUCGAAUGAUAUUUAUUAAUUUGUCUGUUAACAGUAUUAUUAACAGUAUUAGCAGUGUUUGUCUGCUUUUCCAGACUAAAAUAAGCCUGCAUUUUCUUUUUAAUUAUUAAUUUUCUUUCAGAAUGAUGUGUAGUUUGGUCCAUGGCUUAAUCCCCGUCUGGGAAACAUGCCUUUUUUGUUAUGACACUAAAUUUUCAACAACAGAAGAACUAAAUGGAGUUUAUAUUCCAACAAACUUACGAAAAGCUCUUCAUAUGCUCUUCAGAUCAGUGCAGUGACCUAGAUAGACAUUUACAAUGGACCCGUUUGCACUCCAUGAGGUCAUUAGGUCCAGCCACACUCCGAGGGGGAUUUCAAAGCACACCUUGGGGCAAGGAGUUUCAGUCACACAUAUAAGGAGCUUGCAGAGCAUUUUAGAAGGUCAUUAGGGUGCAGUCCCAGUCAAAACUUUGAGGUUGUUAGGUCUAGUCACAAUCUGAGAGGGGUCUAGAAGCACAUCUUGAGGUAGUAAGGUCAAGUUACACUUAGAAGGAGCUUUCAGAGCAAUCCACAAGGUCAUUAGGGACCAGUCACAGGCAGAGAAAGAUCUCAGCGCAAACCAUGAGGUACUAAGGUCCAGUCACACCUAUAAGGAGCCAUCCCAGCAAUCUACAAGGUCAUUAGGGUCAAGUUACAGUCACAGAGAAGUCUCAGAGAAAACCAUGAGGUCAUUAGGUACAGUCAGCGCAAGGGUUAGGAUUCGGAACAAACCAUAAGGAUUUUAGAUCCAGUCAAACAAAUGUAGGGGAGAGUGGAGAACUUGAGGUCAUCAGGUCCAGUUUCAUUCAUAAAGAUGUCUCAGAACAUUCCACAGGGCCAUUAGGUCCAGUCAGGCUGAGAUCUCAAAUCAAACCAUAAAGAAUUUAGGUACAGUCAGUCAAAGUUCAGAGCAAACCACAGGGUCAUUAGGUCCAGUCACAUUCAUAAAGAUGUCUCAAAACAAUCCACAGGAUCAUUAUUUCUAUUCAGACAAUUGUGGGGUUCAGCAGAGACCUUGAGGUCAUCAGGUCCAGUCACAUUCAUAGAGAUGUUUUAGAACGUUCCACAGGGUCAUUGGGUCCAGUCAGGCUGUGUUCUAGAACCAAACCAUGAUGACAACUUAAGGUCCAGUCAGACAAGUGUAGGGCUCAGAAAAAGCUGCAGGGUCAUUAGUUCCAGUCAGUCAAGUGUUGGGUUCAGAACAAACCACAGGGUCAUUAGGUCUAGUCACAUUCAUAGAGAGGUCUCAGCACAUUCCACAGGGUCAUUAGGUACAGUCAGGCUGAGGUCUCGAAACAAACCAUGAGGACUUUAGGUCCAGUCAGUCAAGUAUACGGUUCAGCAGAAACCUGGAGGUCAUUAGGUCCAGUCAGAGUGAGGUCUCAGAACAAACAAUGUUAUCAUUAGGUCUAUUUAUAGUUAAGACAUAAAUGAGGUUAUGGCCUUCAGUGACUGGCUGAGCUGUCAGAACAAUCUGCGAGGUUAUUAGGUCCAGUCACAGUCAAAGAGAGUUCUUAACUGAACCCGUGUGGCCAUUAGGUCCAGUCACAGUAAGGACAAAGUUUCAGAACAAAUAAUGAGGUUAUUAGCGCCAGUUACAGUCCAAGAGAAUGGCCUCACCAGAAGCCAUAGGGUCAUUAGAUCCAGUCACAGUCAGUGAUUGAGGUCUCUGAACAAACCAUAAGGUCAUUAGGUUCAGUUGCAGUUAGAGAUCUGUCUCAGUAUGAGUCACAGUAUUAUCACUGUAAGCAUCCACUUACAGCUUUGCUAUGCCUCAUUGUUUAGCAGAGUUCAGCAGAGAUCUUUGUAGUAUCAUGUGGUGCACAGUGGGCUGGUAUAUGGCAACAUCUUCCUCGCUGUGCAGCCAGUGUUGUUUAGAAAGUAUUUUCAGAUUAUGAAGAUUAGUAUCAACAAACAGAAAGACAAUGAUGGUAAACCCUUCUGUUCUCUGAACCCAGGGCACUUUUACAUUACAAUACAAACAUCCUGAUUUUAUACUUAUGACGAAAGUUAGGUUUGGAAGAAAUUAUGUUUGAUAGGAAGUAGCUUAUAUCGUUCCAGCAGGGUGACAAAAUACUUAUGCUUAUGCAUACCCGGUCAUUGAAUUGCUAAAACAUUGCUAAUGCUUUACUUUUGUAGUUCUUUCAAUGCCGAACUCAAUCUUCCAGCUUAAAAUUAUUGUGUACUCCUUAAAGCACCAAAUUAUUGUAUUUUUCUAAAGCGAUCAGUGAAGAGACAUAUGGUCAUCUAUGGUCAUGUGUUGCUCAAUGUACUAAUAGUUCCAUUGAAGGUGACAGAAGAAAGAAAAGUCUGUGAGACCUUCAAAUGCAGGAAGAUACUAGUGCAUUUCAAAAAAAUUGAAUGUUAGUAAUUAAAAAAAAUCAGUGUCUCAGAAAAUUAGAACAUUAUAUAAAACAAAUCGGUAUGUUUGGCAGUGUGCCAAGUCCUGCUGGAAAAUGAAAUCCACAUCUCCAUAAAAUUUGUCAGCAGAGGAAAGCAUGAAGUGCUGUAAGAUUUUUUUUGGAAAACACUGCACUGACUUUGUACGUAAUAAAACACAGUGGAUCAACACCAGCAGAUGACAUGUCUCUCCAAACCAUCACUGAUCAUCAGUAAAUUUUACAUUUCAUUUGGAAAUUAAGGGACCAGAGUCUGGAGGAAGAGUGGAGAGGCACAUAGUACUGAAUUACUGAAAUCAAGUAACUUCUCAAUGAUUUUAUGAAUAUUUUGAAAUGCACUUGUAUUUUCAGCUUUAUUCAUAAGUUUAAACAAAGCUCAGACAUUGAUGGUCCAACACCAUGAAGCAAUAUGUGUUUACAAAUCAGUACCUAAAGCAGAUGCCCUUCCCCUUUUAAAGGAAUCAACCUUUUGACUUGUGAGCCUGACAAUAUUCUAUCCUAUUACUCAAAGUCUUUAAUGAUUAUGCGUCCCCUAUGUCUGAAAAGCAUGUCGUCAGCAUUCACACACAAAUACUUGUAAUAUAAGACAAUAUUACAACGUAAUUCGAUAUUAUAUUUUAUACUAUGCAGAGAAGCCAAACUGGUCACAGCAACUGUGAUCUGUGAUUAGUCAGCUGCAAUUGCAAGCUGCAUUUAAAUCAAUGCACAAGUAUAAACACUCACAAUGGCGAAGGCCACUUGAGCAGGCUAUGUUGCAGACUUAACACAGAUGAUUCAGUCUUUAGCCUUCUGUGUUCUUGUGGAAGUGACAUGACUUUUGGAUUUCAUUGUGGCUCCUUUUCUCUACUGAUGGUGGUGUUCAAAUGAAAUCUGUUGUGGCACAGAUUUUAGAUCUGUGACUCGUUCGCGUUGGGUCUCGAUUACAGCGUUUUGUUCAUCUCCAUUCUCACAGAUGGGAUGACUAAGCUCUCACAAUAGCUGAGCUGAAAAUUCUCCAAUUAGGCAUGAUGAAUGUGAAUGUGGUCAACAGAAUUGUCAGGGCUUGCUGUUUGAGUUGACAACCUGGCCAACCUAUAAAUGUGCAAGGCUGUCCUGCUGUCUGGUCUGUCCAAAACCAGGAUUAAACCACAGGACUUGGAAUGGUGGCACACUGACCCAGCUUUCAUUAACAACCUCCAGCCAGCUAAUGGUGGCAGCAGGCUUUGUACUGGACCAAAAGCACAAACGACAAGCCAAAAGAACCAUUCUGAAUAUGGAAAGAGCUCAUUUUAGAAGCUCUUACAACACACACACAUCCAAAUUGUGGGCUUGUGUGCUGCAGACAUGUGGGCCAGUGUGUUGUUUUCUUUAGAUGCUGUUUCAGGUUAGAUAUUAGUUUUUAUUCGUGUUUGGAACCUGAUACUCUUUGAUACUGACACCAUUUGUUGCAAGAACUACAGCUUGUAGGUAUAAUUUGAUGGCUGUCUGCUAUACUCCAGUGAUUUUCAUACUGUGCGUUUUAUUUUAUUCUCUAUUGGUAAAUCUAUUGGAACUUCUACAGGAAUUAAUAAUGAAUUGAGGGCCUCAUAAUAACGUUGCAAUGCAGAUUAAUGAUCCAAAAUCGAUUACACGUAAAUUUUUCAACCAAUUAAGUGUUGUGCCGAAUCCAAAUUCACACCAGUUAUUUUUUUAUAUUUAAUGUUUAAUGGGUAAUGAAAGCUUGUGUGUUUUGUUUUGCAGUAGGGACUAUAUUUCAUUGCUAGGGCUGGGCGAUAUUGUAAAAAAAAUGAUAUUCUUCAAAUAUAUGAGCUUCUCGAUUACGAUUUUCCUGCAUAACAGGUUUUUUUAUUUAUAAACAGACAGCACCAUAUAAAGUGAUGCACAAGCUAUUCUUUCCUUUACAUUUUUUGUUUAACGAAUGCAGCUUAUAUAUAAACAUGGUGCAAACAUGCAAGCAUAACCUUUUUUUUUAUCAUGCAGCCCUGGUUUUCUGCUCUUUUCAUACCUGUGGUUUUGGUGUAUUAGUGUGAGAACAUAAGCAGUUUCUUCUACUUCUCGUAGUUUAAGACACAUAAGUCGAAUAAGCUCAGUUCAGAUCGCACUGCAAAAAAUCCAUUGGCAAAAACUGGAAAAAAAUAUAUGUAAAUUGAGACAUAUAUGAUUAUAUUAUGCAAAACAAUCUGCCAAUGGGGAAGCUAAUUUUUCUUAGUAAGAUUUCUUUAAAAAAUGAAUGAAGUAAGACCUAAAUCACGUUUUUGGCUUAAAUUUGGACACAACAAUCACAAUAAAUUGAUUGCUGAUGUGAAAUCUAAGUAAGACUGAUUAAGAUAAUUAUUCCCAAAAUAAUCCAACACUUGCACAAUGCUUGGUGAGAUAAAACAAGUCUCAUCAAAGAAGGAAAUAAGAUUUAUUGCCUUAAAAUGAGAAAAUUUCACUUGUUAAGAUUUCUUUUUUGCAGUGUGGCUGUCCCAGUUCUGAUUAGAACUGCCAUAUAGUAAGUUAUUAUUUACAUUUAUAGCAUUUAGCUGAUGCUCUUAUUCAAAGCGACUUACACUGUUGUUCUUGUUACAGCAGCAGGUCCAUAUAGUGUUAGGAGUCUUGCCCAAGGACUCUAAUUGGCGUAGCACAGCAUUCAGUCCCCCAGAGCAGGAAUUGAACCCCAGUCUCCCACUUGGUGUGGCAGCUCACUAGCAGGAAAUGGUGUUAUCCACUGCACCACACCAACCACUGUGUUACUGAUGUUGGGUUGAAUAAGCUGAGAUUCAUAAAUUAAACAUUUUUUAAACGAACUUAGAGAUACACUUAAUUCAAAACUCUUGUUAGUAUUCUUUUUAGUAUUCAUGUUCGUGGUUUGAAACUUGACAGUAUUUACAUUCUUUAUUCAAUAUGAAUCAUUAAUUUCUCAUAUUAAACACAACCCUCCCCCGCUGUUCUCCCUAUUGCCCCAGUCAUCGUUGGUCAUCAAUUAUUCACUCAACCCUCACCCUCUGUGGAUCGUGUUGCCUACUUUUCAUCCAGGUCACCUCAUGAUGACUCCAUGUGUGUAUGUGUCUCUGUUACUGUGAGAACAUUACCAUGUUCAUUUUAUCAUUAAAUCAUAAAUUGAUUCCAUAUAUCUCAAUGGAAUCAAUGGCAGUUUGACCUCUAACUGGGGCCCAAGCAUCAUCUGGUCAAUUCAGAAGGAUGCUGAGAAGACUCCGCCCUCCUCCAGUGCUGCAAAGUUUUAGUCAGUUGGAAAAUGGGUCACAAUCGGUCACAAUUUGCACAUUCCUAAUACAGAAAGCUCUAGUCUGUUUUCCAACAGUCUUUUCGUGUAUGCUCAAAUCUGGAGCAGAUGUUUUUGCAGGACAUUUCUGGAAGUUCUCCAGCACUUGCACUGUGCUCCUGGAUGUGUAGCGAACCUUUCCAAGAGACAGUAUCUCUUUUCCCAGGCCCUUUUGAGCCAAACCCAACCCCACGACCCCCUAAAUCUCUAAUAUAAUGCAGUUCAUCCAUUCGUGCUUCGGUUAAAACGUUAUUCCGGGUUUUGCUCAGUUGCUCAGAAGUUAUACAAGAACCUCUACCGACAUUUGAAGUGUACCCCUCAUUUUACCUUACAUUGCAUUACAUUUUACAACAGUUUGAGCUUGCUUUUUCAAUUUGUGAAAUUGACAAGAAAGCAGUAGACGAUUGCUAGGAUUCUACGUUUUUCCCGGGCCUACCUGCCGAACUAGGUCAUUUUUAUGGAAAGAACUUAAACAAAACAAAAAAAAUGAUGUGUACAUGCUAAUUUAAUAGUGUAUUUUUAUUACAGGAAUAUAUACUCUUUAUUUAUUUUCAAUAUAGAUAGACUGAUCGAUUGAUACUCCUCUGAUUGUGUUUACUCCUCAGUAUCUGUGUGAGAUUGCUUAUUAUUAACCAAUAUUUAUGCAAAGUGUUAUUUAUUCCUUUUUUUGUUUGUUUGUUUAUUUUUGUUUUUUUCUUGGCUUGAAUAUAUAAAAUGAAUGUGUUGGCCUACACUCAUUACACCAGGAGCGAAUGAACGAACGAACAAACAAUCGAUCGAACGAAUAAAUGCCUGCCUGCUCUUUACGACCCAUUGCUGUGGUCCCGCUAAGAGCAUGCUCAAUUGCACAGGAUUUUGUAUACAAAAAUACGUGAAUAAAUGAAUAAAUAAACAAAUAAACAAGCAAACAGGUGGCGAGAGAAAAAGGAUACUGUCUCUUUAUCUCUGUUCUGCACCUGUCUCUCAAAAGAUUGAAUGCUCUUGAUACGAUAGUCCUCCUCUUUGUUUACUCUUAACCCUUUGAGCACCUGGCAGCUUUUGUUUAGUGUUAUUGGCUCAACGGCGAAAGCACACAGCGAUUGAAUCAGGCCUGUUAGCUGAUAAAUGAUGAGUGAUAAGUGAUAAAUCAAAGCAAGAUAGUUAAAUGAAAGCAAAGGUAGUUUAGAGCGUCUUUUCCACUAUCAAUUUCUUAAAAACUCUCGCUCCCAGGUCCUCAAAGGGAGGGUUGUGCACAACUGCAUAAAACCUGUACUUUCAAAUCACCUUCUUGGCUUAAUAAGUGUUCUGUAUGACUAUUUCUCUGUUGCUUUCUCCUUUUUUAGAACAACUACAAUGUCUUUGACCUAUGCUAAUAUUUUAGUCUGUGAACGUGCCUUCUCAAUUCUGGGUUUCUGCAUCUGGUUUUGGGAUUCUCUGAUUCUCUCUUUCUCUUUUUCUUUUUUUAACCUUCUUGCUUAUGUUCUUCUUUUCCCACAACUCUUGCAUGCUCUUGUAUUCUUACAACGAUAAGAAAAGAAUGAAAGACUUUUUAAGUGUUUGUUUGGCGAAACCUCUUGUAACAACAAACCUUUUUUGUGACCUAUCUCUCUUUCUCUCUCUGCCAAUGUUGUCGUAAUAAAUAUGAAUGAUGGUGUAGCGGAA